GACGAACGCUGGCGGCGUGCUUAACACAUGCAAGUCGAGCGGUAAGGCCCUUUCGGGGGUACACGAGCGGCGAACGGGUGAGUAACACGUGGGUGACCUGCCCUCAGCUCUGGGAUAAGCCUGGGAAUCCGGGUCUAAUACUGGAUAUGACUCCAUGACGCAUGUUGUGGGUGGAAAGCCUUGUGCGGCUGAGGAUGGGCCCGCGGCCUAUCAGCUUGUUGGUGGGGUGAUGGCCUACCAAGGCGACGACGGGUAGCCGGCCUGAGAGGCGGACCGGCCACACUGGGACUGAGACACGGCCCAGACUCCUACCGGGAGGCAGCAGUGGGGAAUCUUGCGCAAUGGGCGAAAGCCUGACGCAGCGACGCCGCGUGAGGG
rnacentral:rRNA from 1 species